GACGAACGCUGGCGGCGUGCUUAACACAUGCAAGUCGAACGGAAAGGCCCUGCUUUUGUGGGGUGCUCGAGUGGCGAACGGGUGAGUAACACGUGAGUAACCUGCCCUUGACUUUGGGAUAACUUCAGGAAACUGGGGCUAAUACCGGAUAGGAGCUCCUGCUGCAUGGUGGGGGUUGGAAAGUUUCGGCGGUUGGGGAUGGACUCGCGGCUUAUCAGCUUGUUGGUGGGGUAGUGGCUUACCAAGGCUUUGACGGGUAGCCGGCCUGAGAGGGUGACCGGCCACAUUGGGACUGAGAUACGGCCCAGACUCCUACGGGAGGCAGCAGUGGGGAAGAUUGCACAAUGGGCGGAAGCCUGAUGCAGCAACGCCGCGUGCGGGAUGACGGCCUUCGGUUUGUAAACCGCUUUCGCCUGUGACGAAGCGUGAGUGACGGUAAUGGGUAAAGAAGCACCGGCUAACUACGUG
rnacentral:rRNA from 1 species